CAACAACAUUGUCAUCCCCAUGUCAGUAGCUAAAGUGGAAAAGCUGCAGUACAAAGACAUCCUCACACCAAGGUAGGAAACAACACAGCCUCUGAAGGAGAUGACCAUGUUGAUGAUGAGCAUGUUGGUCUAUGACAGGGUUCCUUGAAAACUAGUGGUCACUCUCAGACACGUACAAUUUUCCAUCCUUAGCCUUGAACAAAUGCAUCCUAAUGUACUGAUCCCAUCUCUAUUUAAAGAAGUCUAGACUCUGGUUUCAGGUGCUCAGGAAGUCUGUCUUGUUUCACAGUUGGCGAGUGGUUAACAACUCAUCUCUGAUAAAAAGGGAGGAAGAAAAGGAAACAAGCGUUGAGGAGGUGCAGGUUUGGAGUGUAUCCUCUCUUUAGAAAUGAGCUGUAUAAUGUAGGAAAAAAGAAAUGUCUUCUUUUCAUUUAUGGGUGUAUAUUUCAGG